GAGAAUUCUGCCUACUGGGCCUGCUUAGGAGUUAUAGCAUGUGAGUGUGCAUCAGCCUGAAUUAAGACAACCUGCAUGCCUUGGCCCCCUUAUUCCAUCUUCAAAGCCAGCACUGGCAGAAGAUGAGCUAAAGUGUCCGAGACAUUCCUAACUCAGGAUUCUUCCCUGAAGACUCUUAGGGUGUUGGCCAAAAGAAGGAAAAUGUAAUUAUCCAGUUUCAAAGCCAGCAGCCAAUACCUGAGCUUAAAUUUUCAUUUGUUCUGCACCCUGAGAGAUGGAGGUCUCACUAUGUUGCCCAGGCUGGU